GAAAAGAUAAGCUAAAGCAAGCUAUUAGGUUCAUACCCUAAACAUAGAAUUAAUAAUCUUCUUUUUA
rnacentral:tRNA from 1 species